rnacentral:lncRNA from 1 species
UUUUUCCACUUAUCAUCAGUCACAUGGAAUAAAAAUCAUAUUAUGUCAGAGUUAGUAGUUUUUGUAUCAGAGGAACAAAAUCGAAAAAUGGGUCAUUUUGUUUUAUGGAGUUUUCAAGCAUUACCCACGUUUUUAUCAAUUCAAGCAUCAUAGCCUUUGUCAUCUACCUCUGCUCCACAAAAUCGAUGAAAGAACAUACCAAAAUUGUGCUAGAUAGAAAGAUAUUUCAUACUAUUUUCAUUUUGUUAUCCUUUUCUUCAAAUAUGUUUAUGAAGCAUUUUGAUUUUCUACUUGAUUUCCUUCCUUUUUUGUCUAUUAAUUUUUGUUUCUUAGUGGUAAAACUUAGAAAUAACAAUCUGAAUAUGGUUAAGGGUUUUAAUCACAAUAAAUUACAGUUUUUCAUAGCGACUUUAAUAUAGUGCACUAUUGUUCAGGUAACAAACCCUAGAUACGAUGUUUAUAUAUAUUCACGUAACUCCUCACUUCAUAGCAGCUCAUCAACAAUGGAUGUGCCACUUCUCACCAAGAAGAUCAUAAAGAAGAGGGUCAAACAUUUCAAAAGACCCCAAAGCGAUCGCAAGAUCUGUGUGAAGGUAUAA